CAUCAAACGAUAGAUUUAUGGUA
rnacentral:siRNA from 1 species